AGGGCUGCAGUAUAUUGACUGUACAAAGGUAGCAUAAUCAUUAGUCAUUUAAUUGGUGACUUGUAUGAAGGAUUUGAUGAAAUAUAAACUGUCUCUUAUUUAAUUAUAAAAUUUAAUUUUUUUAUUAAAAAGUUAAAAUGUAUUAAAAAGACGAGAAGACCCUAUAGAGUUUAAUAAAUUAUUAAAUUAAGAUUAUAUGUAAAUUAAACUUGAAAUUGAGUUAUUUAUUUUGUUGGGGUGACAAAAAAAUAUAUUAAACUUUUUUUAUUUAAAAACAUUUAUAAGUGGUUAAAUGAUCCAAUAAUGUUGAUUAUAAGAAAAAAUUACCUUAGGGAUAACAGCGUAAUUUUUUUUUUUAGUUCAAAUAAGAAAAAGAGUUUGCGACCUCGAUGUUGGAUUAAGAUAAAAUUUAAA
rnacentral:rRNA from 1 species